rnacentral:rRNA from 1 species
AGCGAACGCUGGCGGCAGGCCUAACACAUGCAAGUCGAACGGAUCCUUCGGGAUUAGUGGCGGACGGGUGAGUAACACGUGGGAACGUGCUCUUUGGUUCGGAACAACGCAGGGAAACUUGAGCUAAUACCGGAUGUGCCCUUCGGGGGACAGAUUUAGGGACAUUGGAACGGCCCGCGUCUGAUUAGCUCGUUGGUGAGGUAAAGGGUCACCAAGGCGACGAUCAGUAGCUGGUCUGAGAGGAUGAUCAGCCACAUUGGGACUGAGACACGGCCCAAACUCCUACGGGAGGCAGCAGUGGGGAAUCUUGCGCAAUGGGCGAAAGCCUGACGCAGCCAUGCCGCGUGAAUGAUGAAGGUCUUAGGAUUGUAAAAUUCUUUCCCCGGGGACGAUAAUGACGGUACCCGGAGAAGAAGCCCCGGCUAACUUCGUGCCAGCCGCCGCCGUAACAC